AGCGGCGGAUGGGUGAGUAACACGUGGGGAACCUGCCCCUAAGUCUGGGAUACCAUUUGGAAACAGGUGCUAAUACCGGAUAAUAAAGCAGAUCGCAUGAUCAGCUUUUGAAAGGCGACGUAAGCUGUCGCUAAGGGAUGGCCCCGCGGUGCAUUAGCUAGUUGGUAAGGUAACGGCUUACCAAGGCGACGAUGCAUAGCCGAGUUGAGAGACUGAUCGGCCACAUUGGGACUGAGACACGGCCCAAACUCCUACGGGAGGCAGCAGUAGGGAAUCUUCCACAAUGGACGCAAGUCUGAUGGAGCAACGCCGCGUGAGUGAAGAAGGUUUUCGGAUCGUAAAGCUCUGUUGUUGGUGAAGAAGGAUAGAGGUAGUAACUGGCCUUUAUUUGACGGUAAUCAACCAGAAAGUCACGGCUAACUACGUGCCAGCAGCCGCGGUAAUACGUAGGUGGCAAGCGUUGUCCGGAUUUAUUGGGCGUAAAGCGAGCGCGGGCGGAAAAAUAAGUCUAAUGUGAAAGCCCUCGGCUUAACCGAGGAACUGCAUCGGAAACUGUUAUUCUUGAGUGCAGAAGAGGAGAGUGGAACUCCAUGUGUAGCGGUGGAAUGCGUAGAUAUAUGGAAGAACACCAGUGGCGAAGGCGGCUCUCUGGUCUGCAACUGACGCUGAGGCUCGAAAGCAUGAGUAGCGAACAGGAUUAGAUACCCUGGUAGUCCAUGCCGUAAACGAUGAGUGCUAAGUGU
rnacentral:rRNA from 1 species